UACGUAGGGUCCGAGCGUUGUCCGGAAUUACUGGGCGUAAAGCGUGCGCAGGCGGCUUUGCAAGACAGAUGUGAAAUCCCCGGGCUUAACCUGGGAACUGCAUUUGUGACUGCAUGGCUGGAGUGCGGCAGAGGGGGAUGGAAUUCCGCGUGUAGCAGUGAAAUGCGUAGAUAUGCGGAGGAACACCGAUGGCGAAGGCAAUCCCCUGGGCCUGCACUGACGCUCAUGCACGAAAGCGUGGGGAGCAAACAGG
rnacentral:rRNA from 1 species